CACGUAGGGCGCGAGCGUUGUCCGGAAUUAUUGGGCGUAAAGAGCUCGUAGGCGGCCUGUUGCGUCCGCUGUGAAAGCCCGGGGCUUAACCCCGGGUCGGCAGUGGAUACGGGCAGGCUAGAGGUAGGUAGGGGAGAAUGGAAUUCCCGGUGUAGCGGUGAAAUGCGCAGAUAUCGGGAGGAACACCGGUGGCGAAGGCGGUUCUCUGGGCCUUACCUGACGCUGAGGAGCGAAAGCGCGGGGAGCGAACGGG
rnacentral:rRNA from 1 species